ensembl:lncRNA
AAAAAUAGAAGAAAUCAAGGAACUCGAGGCCACAGAAACCUAGAGAGUUUUCAUGGAUUCCUGAGGAAUCGCCACACUAUCUUCCACAAAGAUUGAACUAAUUUACCAAAAGGAAAAGUGUUCCUAUUUCUCUGCAUCGUCUCCAGCAUCUGUUGUCUCCAGAUUUUCAAUGGUUGCCAUUCUAACUGGGAUGAGAUGCCUUUCACUGAAGGAGACACUUCCUGGAGAAAUGAGGAUCAUUGCUCAAGAAGAAGAAGAGAGCGGGUUCUGUGACUGCAUCCCACCAUUUCUCCUCACUGUUAGCAAAUCACUGACACUCUCUGGACAUCAUGGAUCUCAUCUGUAAAGCAGAAAUGAACAUGAACAGGUUUACUGAAGUAAGCUCUCUACCUGGAGCAAGGAUGAGGAAAUAGUUAACUAGGCUCCUCAGAAGAGAUGGAUCUAAACUCACAUGCUUUCUUUGCAUUCUCGGCUGCUUUGUGUGAAAAGAAACUUAAUUAUGACAUUUCAAUAUUGAAAUAAAAUUAGUUUGGAUUUUAGUCCUCACUCUUGAAAGGAAAUUAUGCUCCAUUUUUAACUGUGCAAGACAACUGCUGAUUCAUCUGCGGAGUGAUAAGUAGGGCUAUUUUUAUAAAGAUAUAACGAACUAUAUGCAGGGCCUCCUCAGGGCUUCUCUUUUUAUGGUGCAAAUUGGCAACCAAACUCCUGCUUAUAAACGCUUUUGUGGCCACCUCAAAUGGCACAGUGUCAACCCUGUCCACCACUUAUGUUGGUUAAAUCUCUUUAGCAACAAUAAAUACAGCCAAUUAUAAUGACAUAUUUAACUCAUGCUCCAUAUUCGUGCCUAGUUCUAGGAAGGAAAUAAAAAAUAACUCAAGAAUUUUCUUGUCCAGUUUAACCUAAAUAUUUUAAGUUCUAAAUAUAUUAUGUGCAAUUUCAUAAUAUCCCUAGAAUAUAUAUUAUUGUUUAACAUAUUAGUAAAGUUUAAAAAUCAUGUAAUGAGUUAAAUAUUAAAGACCACAUAGGCAAUGUAGUUUCAUAGCUCUUUAAAAGCCUCUGGCAAGGAUUUAAUUUAGAUUUAAUAAAAGAGUUAUUAUAUUAUUUAUUUGAUUAUAAAUAUGCUAAUAUAAAUGUGAUGCUAUAAAUAUUUCUGCUAAUUAAAUACUAGCUGACUUAUGGUUGUUUAUUUAGGUGCAACUAGCAGUUUAUUAAGAUGUAUGAGUUGAAACUCGAUAACCAUAUUCUUAAUAAUCUAUUGAUAUUUAAUAGGUAAUAACCACAUUAUAUUCAAGGUAGUACAUUUAGCUGUAUUCUUUCUACUGAAUGUUAGUUUAAAGCUAAUUAUUUGUAGCAUAUUUACGAAGCUUCAGCUGCUUAAGAGAUAUUCAUCUUAAUAAAAAAGGUUGUUAUGCCCCAAUAGAUAUUCAUAAUAAUCAGUUGAUAUUUAAUUAACAUAUAAUAACUCCCUCAUUAAACCUAAAUUAAAUCCUUAUUUGAAAUACUCAAUUUAAAGCACAACUGAAAAUACUGCUAUAGAAAAUUUACAUGGCCCCUGUGCAUUGCUUUCACUAGCAAAAUGAGAGAUGCCUUGCAAUCUGAG